rnacentral:tRNA from 1 species
CCCCUGGAGCUCAGUUGGUACAGCGCUCCACCUGUAAUCGAGAAGUCCCGAGUUCGAUACCCGGACCAGGCGG